UGGACUAUUGAAGACAUGAAUGGUGCUUCUCUGGGCUUGACAAACUGAGGCGGCUGAUACUCCAAGGAAAUCGGAUCCGAUCUAUUACUAAAAAAGCCUUCACUGGUUUGGAUGCAUUGGAAUAUUUAGACCUGAGUGACAACGCAAUCAUGUCUUUACAAGGCAAUGCAUUUUCACAAAUGAAGAAACUGCAACAAUUGCAUUUAAAUACAUCAAGCCUUUUGUGCGAUUGCCAACUAAAAUGCUCCCACAGUGGGUGGCGGAAAACAACUUUCAGAGCUUUGUAAAUGCCAGUUGUGCCCAUCCUCAGCUGCUAAAAGGAAGAAGCAUUUUGCUGUUAGCCCAGAUGGCUUUCUGUGCCAAUGAUUUUCCCAACCCCAGAUCACGGUUCAGCCAGAAACACAGUCGGCAAUAAAAGGUUCCAAUUUGAGUUUCAAUCUGCUCAGCUGCCAGCAGCAGUGAUUCCCCAAUGACUUUUGCUUGGAAAAAAACAAUGAACUACUGCAUAUCCGAAAUGGAAAAUUAUGCACACCUCCGGGCCCAAGUGGCGAGGUGAUGGAGUAUACCACCAUCCUUCGCUGCGCGAGGUGGAAUUUGCCAGUGAGGGGAAAUAUCAGUGUGUCAUCUCCAAUCACUUCGGUUCAUCCUACUCUGUCAAAGCCAAGCUUACAGUAAAUAUGCUUCCCUCAUUCACCAAGACCCCCAUGGACCUCACCAUCCGAGCUGGGCCAUGGCACGCUUGGAGUGUGCUGCUGUGGGGCACCCAGCCCCCAGAUAGCCUGGCAGAAGGAUGGGGGCACAGACUUCCCAGCUGCACGGGAGAGACGCAUGCAUGUGAUGCCCGAGGAUGACGUGUUCUUUAUUGUGGAUGUGAAGAUAGAGGACAUUGGGGUAUACAGCUGCACAGCUCAGAACAAUGCAGGAAGUAUUUCUGCAAAUGCAACUCUGACUGUCCUAGAAACACCGUCAUUUUUGCGGCCACUGUUGGACCGAACUGUAACCAAGGGAGAAACGGCUGUCCUACAGUGCAUUGCUGGAGGAAGCCCUCCCCCCAAACUGAACUGGACCAAAGAUGAUAGCCCUUUGGUGGUAACCGAGAGGCACUUUUUUGCAGCAGGCAAUCAGCUUCUGAUUAUUGUGGACUCAGAUGUCAGUGAUGCUGGGAAAUACACGUGUGAGAUGUCUAAUACCCUUGGCACUGAGAGAGGAAACGUGCGCCUGAGUGUGAUCCCCACUCCGACCUGCGACUCCCCUCAGAUGACCGCCCCAUCGUUAGACGAUGACGGAUGGGCCACUGUGGGUGUCGUGAUCAUAGCCGUGGUUUGCUGUGUGGUGGCACGUCACUCGUGUGGGUGGUCAUCAUAUACCACACAAGGCGGAGGAAUGAAGAUUGCAGCAUUACCAACACAGAUGAGACCAACUUGCCAGCAGAUACUCCUAGUUAUUUGUCAUCUCAGGGAACGUUAGCUGACAGGCAGGAUGGGUACGUGUCUUCAGAAAGUGGAAGCCACCACCAAUUUGUCACAUCUUCAGGUGCUGGAUUUUUCUUACCACAACAUGACAGUAGUGGUACCUGCCAUAUUGACAAUAGCAGUGAAGCUGAUGUGGAAGCUGCCACAGAUCUGUUCCUUUGUCCCUUUUUGGGAUCUACAGGCCCUGUGUAUUUGAAGGGAAAUGUGUAUGGCUCAGAUGCUUUUGAAACGUAUCAUACAGGUUGCAGUCCUGACCCAAGAACAGCUUUAAUGGACCACUAUGAGCCCAGUUACAUAAAGAAAAAGGAGUGCUACCCAUGUUCUCAUCCUUCAGAAGAAUCCUGCGAACGAAGCUUCAGUAGUAUAGCAUGGCCUUCACAUGUGAGGAAGCUACUUAACACUAGUUACUCUCAAAAUGAAGGACCUGGAAUGAAAAAUCUGUGCCUAAACAAGUCCUCUUUAGAUUUUAGCGCAAAUCCAGAGUCAGCGUCAGUUGCCUCGAGUAAUUCUUUCAUGGGUACAUUUGGAAAAGCUCUCAGGAGACCUCACCUAGAUGCCUAUUCAAGCUUUGGACAGCCAUCAGAUUGUCAGCCAAGAGCCUUUUAUUUGAAAGCUCAUUCUUCCCCAGACUUGGACUCUGGGUCAGAGGAAGAUGGGAAAGAAAGGACAGAUUUUCAGGAAGAAAAUCACAUUUGUACCUUUAAACAGACUUUAGAAAACUACAGGACUCCAAAUUUUCAGUCUUCUGACUUGGACACAUAGACUGAAUGAGACCAAAGGAAAAGCUUA